UACGUAGGUGGCAAGCGUUGUCCGGAAUCAUUGGGCGUAAAGGGUAGGUAGGUGGUCUCAUUUGUCUGGGGUGAAAGCCCAGGGCUUAACCCUGGAAGUGCCCCGGAAACGGUGAGACUGGAGUCUUGGAGAGGGUCGUGGAAUUCCCGGUGUAGCGGUGAAAUGCGUAGAGAUCGGGAGGAACACCAGAGGCGAAGGCGGCGACCUGGACAAGCACUGACACUCAACUACGAAAGCGUGGGGAGCAAACAGG
rnacentral:rRNA from 1 species